AAAAAAAACGAUGGAACCAUCCAUAGUAUCGAUGGUUGGCCGCCGGUGACCGACUUCGAUAUUUUUCAGACUAUCACGACAGUUUUACAAAAAAUUCGAACUAAUAAGAAGAAAUAUUCAUAUUCUGGUGGUUCCGGUGUUGUUGUGGUUCCUUAAAAAUGGCUGGCGGUGCAAAAAGCAAGUGAAUGGCAAAGAUAUAAAGAGCUUAAAUUCACAUAUAUUCUUCAUGAAACUAUUGGUGGAGACAAGGUUAGGAGCAGAAUGUGAAGCAGGGUGUGGAGCAGGAUGUGGAAAUCGUGUGCAACGUGCAAGGAGCAAAGUCGUUAAAAAAGGUCAACCGGCUUAGAAGUUCGAUGUGGGAUCUUUUUGAGAGGACCAAAGAUGGAAAGACCGCCAAAUUGGUUUUUGAACCAAAGAAAUGUUAUUUGAUUUCUCAUAAAUAUGUAUUAAAAAGAUCUCACUUGAAUUUAAA